rnacentral:lncRNA from 10 species
CCACAGAAAGCCCCUUGUCGAGAAGAACCAAGGACCGUGGCCAACAGCCUCCAUCCGGUUCCCAGCUGACAGCCAACACCAAGUUGCCAGCCAUGUGAGCCCUGUUGGAAGUGAAUCCCCCAGCCUCAGUCUACAGCUGACACCAGUUAGAAGCAGCAUUCCAACAAGAAGAUCCACAAGAUGAAUUUGCAAAUAGCAGUUUCCAAACUUUUGAAUUGUUCAACCUGAGCAACAGUUCCAUCUCCAUGAAUACUUCACAUAUUGUUUAUCCUGCUCUUAAAUGUUACCUGAUUCUGCUACUACAAAUCAAUCAAAGAACUGGUGAUUUGUCUUGGGGUCUUAAAUUAAUUUUGAGCAGCUCUGCAAGCUGUGUCCC